UGGGGAAUUUUACACAAUGGGGGAAACCCUGAUGUAGCGACACCGCGUGAGCGAAGAAGCCCUUUGGGGUGUAAAGCUCUGUCAGCAGGGACGAAAAAGUGACGGUACCUGCAGAGGAAGCAUCGGCUAACUACGUGCCAGCAGCCGCGGUAAGACGUAGGAUGCGAGCGUUGUCCGGAUUUAUUGGGCGUAAAGGGUUCGUAGGUGGUUUCAUAAGUCUGGUGUAAAAGGCGCGGGCUCAACCCGUGUUGUGCAUUGGAUACUGUGAGACUGGAGUGCAGUAGAGGCAAGCGGAAUUCCCAGUGUAGCGGUGAAAUGCGUAGAUAUUGGGAAGAACACCGGUGGCGCAAGCGGCUUGCUGGGCUGUAACUGACACUGAGGAACGAAAGCUAGGGGAGCGAAUG
rnacentral:rRNA from 1 species